AAUUUUGGACAAUGGGGGAAACCCUGAUCCAGCCAUCCCGCGUGUAUGAUGAAGGCCUUCGGGUUGUAAAGUACUUUUGGCAGAGAAGAAAAGGUACCUCCUAAUACGAGGUACUGCUGACGGUAUCUGCAGAAUAAGCACCGGCUAACUACGUGCCAUCAGCCGCGGUAAUACGUAGGGUGCAAGCGUUAAUCGGAAUUACUGGGCGUAAAGCGUGCGCAGGCGGUUUUGUAAGACAGAGGUGAAAUCCCCGGGCUCAACCUUGGAACUGCAUUUUUAACUGCCGAGCUAGAGUAUGUCAGAGGGGGGUAGAAUUCCACGUGUAGCAGUGAAAUGCGUAGAUAUGUGGAGGAAUACCGAUGGCGAAGGCAGCCCCCUGGGAUAAUACUGACGCUCAGACACGAAAGCGUGGGGAGCAAACAG
rnacentral:rRNA from 1 species